UAGUUGUUAGUCGUUAGCCGGCGGAGCGUUACCGGGCAGCGGGGAGACAGUGGCCGUCUCUGAGGUAAGUUUGUCGGUGAGAUGCAGCGAGUCAGUCCGGAGGCGGAGCUGCGGACUCUGGCGGAGUGUCGGUACAGCUUCCCGGCAGAGACGCUCUCAGACCUGCAGUCGGUUCGGGCUCGGUUCUCCGACCUGCGGCUCUACGUCGACUUUUACUGUUUUCCAAACAAAGAGAAGAAGAAGCUGGUUUAUCUGGCCGGAACACUUCCUGUUUACUACGAAGGAGCUGAGUACAACAUCCCAGUGUGCAUCUGGCUCCAUGAGACUCACCCGGUGUCCCGUCCUCGCUGCUAUGUCUGUCCGUCCGUCGCCAUGGUGAUCAAUCCGUCCUGUCCCUACGUGGACGCCUCCGGAAACAUCAGCGUGGAUGCACUCAACAAGUGGUCUCAGGGCAUGUCCGACCUGUCACAGCUCGUGUCAGAGAUCAGACGGGCAUUCCAGAAGGACACCCCUCUCUUCACCAGGCAACGAGUUCAAGCCCCACCCCCUGCAGGUGUCCAGGUGUUCCAGUCAGCUGACAGCGUCCUCUCAUCGUCCUCAUCCCAACACCGUGUCUCUCUGUCCUCGUCUCAUCUGUCUGGACAUUCAGCCAGCCAAUUGGAGCUGUGCAGGACUGUGAGGGCAGGGCGUUCAUACACCGAGGACCUGCUGGGCAUCGACUUCAGCGCUCCUCCUCCAUCACCCUCCAACCCCUUCAUUAGUUCCUCCCUUUCAGGUGCCCCCCUUGAAGACCCUCUCACCAGGCAAAUGGGAGCACUUAGGCUGGAUGAAGAGUUCAGCAGAGACCAGGCUGAGGCACCUGUCCAAAUCAUCCAAUCAGAAGCAACCAAAGACAGACACACUGAUGAUUCUGGUGCAGGACCUGGACUCAGUCAGGACCUCCAUCCUCUCAAACCCUCAUCCAGACCCGGAGCAGACAUUAUCAAGAUGGCGUCCCGGCUCCCUCCGGACCAGGCGGCAGUGUUUCUGUCUCUAAUGGCUAUGGAGGGGCGGAGCUUCAUCCCGACUGAUGUCAUGGAGGCAGUCCAGCUCAACAGAGACUUCCAGUCGGCUCUGAGGUUUCUGUGUCACAGCUGCCCCAUCUGCCAGGAGCAGGUGUCCUUCAGCAAGAUCAUCACGAUGACUCACUGCUCCUGCUUCCUGUGUCAGUCGUGUUUCAAGUUGUUUUUCUUGGCAGCCAUUAAAGAGCGCAGCGUGGAUCAGCUGGUUUGUCCUCAGUGUGGACAGCCAGAGGUCCGAGGACCGGGAGGGCUGGAGGGGUCUAUGGACUACUUCAACCUGCUGGACACACAGAUUCGUCAUUUUCUGCCUCCUGAGAUCCACGAGCUCUUCCAGAGGAAGCUCAGAGACCGAGCCCUGCAGGAGAUGCCCAACUUCUGCUGGUGUGCUCAUUGUUCUUUUGGGAUGCUCCAUGAGGCUGACAGCUUGAGGAUAGACUGUCCCAGCUGUAAGAAGAGCACCUGCUCUAAAUGCAGAUCACCUUGGUUUCCUCAGCAUCAGAGUCUCUCCUGUGAGCAGUUCAGAGUCUGGAAGCAGAAGAACCAACCAGAUCAUCACAGCAGCCCCCUGCUGUACAGCAGCAUAGAGUGUCCAAACUGCCAGCUUGUCUUCAGUCUGUCUAAAGGAGGAUGUCUUCACUUCACAUGCAGUCAGUGUCGGCAUCAGUUCUGUGGUGGAUGCAGUCAGCGCUUCACUCUGGGAUCUGCCUGCGGUUUCUCUGCUGACUGUGGAAGUAAAGGUCUUCAUGCUCACCACCCCAGAGACUGCCUUUACCACCUGAGAGACUGGAGUGUCACCCGCCUUCACCUGUUGCUACAGCAUUACAGUGUCUCUCCCUCCUGGUUGGAAGCAGCCAAUGGUAGCCCACCUGACAUCGGUCUGGCAGCAGUGUGUUUGGUUUUGGAACUGAGAGACGACAGCAGCAGACAGGAGGAGCCCUGUGGUCGACCUGCACUACCUGAAUACAGAGGAUACUGCCACAGGUUGCACUAUAAGGAGUAUUUGGUGGAGUUGAUCAACCGUUACCGUGUCGACCCUGCAGUCCUAUUUAGUCUGGCCGAGAUGACGGCGGAGCUGCAGCGCUGGCAGGUCGCCGUGCCGACCAGGAAACCUGAUGAACCGGAGGGGCUGUACACACACCGACUCCGCCUGACGCUGACCAAUAGCGUUCCUCUCAGGAAGCAGCGCCGCUCCCUGCUCAAACUCGGCGACAACCUUUGCCCUCUGCCCACCGCUGUGGUUGCCAGAGCCCCGCCCCCUCACCUGCUGCUGAGUGACUGACUCCGUCCCCUGUUCCUGGGGCAGAUCUGAUUGGCUCACUAGUUGCCAAGGAGAGCAACUACAGACAGACCGUAUCAAAGACAGCGAGUAGCCAAUCGGAGUACAGAGCUUACGCUGCCCUUAUUGAUCUGAAUGUCAACGAACACUCAGACCGCUAACGACGCUACUGAUGCCAACAAGCCUUUCGUCAGUGUUCAGGGAUCCAUUUCUGUUUGAGCCAGUGUGAGCAGCAGUUAGCACGUGUUAACAGAGACACAUGUUGAUGGCUGCAGUUCCUGCUCCACGCAGCCUGCAGAGAAACACACAUGAUGACAGGAAACACCUUCACCUGGCUGCAGGUGUGCAGCAGCCCGCUGUUACCCGUGAACCGGGACGCUCAGGACGUUCUUCAGGCUGCAGAAGAUCCUGUCGACGGCUUCGGGGGCUCUGCUGGAUCCGAACUCUGUGGCCACGAUGGACUGCUGGAUGUCUGAGGAGAACAACAGCAGGUUCUUUAGGAGAACGCUUCGUGUUCUCAGAACAACGUCUGAUCUCCAGGUCCGUCUAAUCAUCUUAACUGUCUUCAAAGAGAAACCUCCAGCGGUUGUCCGUUGCAGAACGCUCCCUUCCCCCUCCUGGCGGUGAACAUCUUGUCUUCCAGACAGCUGUAGACGACACCAAACUCCACCUGAAGGAGCAGGAAGGUGGAAGCAUCUCACAUUGGAGCAGGACCAGCAUAAUGAAUCCUAGAAUUAGAGAUAAUAGGUAUACUAGAAGAGAACCUACAGUCUACAGCAGUAAUGAGUACACUGCUGUGUAAUAUCACUUAAAUGUCAUAAGAUGCUAAACUUUGGAUGUUCUCCUGCUGGAAUAUUUCUCUUCAUCAUCUGGUCAGCCAGUAUUCUAGUUCAUCCUCAGACCUUCAUGCUGCAUCUAGAAAUGUCUUCAACACCUUCUGACCUCACGCAGCCCCAUAUCAUCACACUCCCACCUCCGUGCUUCACUGUCAGGAUUACGCAUCCACUGUGGUAGUCCUGGUCAGGUUCUCACCAAACAUCUGGACUCCAUCUCAGCCCAACUCGUUGAUCUUCAUCUGACCGAAGAAUGUCUUAAUCUGUAUUAUUAUUUUUUGCUUAACAUUUAUUUACCCAGGUAGGUCAACUGAGAACCAGUUCUCAUCUACCAUAAUGACCUGGCCAAGAGGCAGCAUAAAAGAUAAAUAUAAUUACAUUCAGCAGACACUUUUAUCCAAAGCAACAUACAUCUGAGAGUAGACACAACACAAGGGAGGUAGGACUGUGGUGUUGGUCAGUGAGCUAUCCAGCUGCUAAAUACUACACAGUGAGGACACGAAGAGAGAAAACAGCAGAAACAGAUAAUAGUUAUUCAUGGUGACCUAUAAUGAGGUAAAUGGCUAAAAGCAGGUAAAUGGUCUUGUACUAUUGUUUGAAUUGAAUUUUGAAUGAGGAGAGAAUGAAUGAGGGUAAAAUUGGCAAUAGGAGGUAUUGGUUUUAGGUGUGAGGAGAUUGAUGAAGCUGCUGGAGCGCAGACUGGGAUUUGUACUGUGAAUGUUAAGAAGAGACUGCAGAUAUAACAGGUUUCCAAAAGAGAGGUUUGUAAAUGAACAGAAACCAGUAAGGUUGAAGGUCAGUUCAGCAGAGCAGAUGGCAUGUUCUCCAACUUCCAUCAGGCUUCUUCUCAUGUUUUUCAGCAAACUUUCAUCUGGAAGUUUAGUUCUGAGCAGCAACCAGGUUUAGUCCUGGUCCUCCGUCCAUAGAGGCUGAUGUUAUGAAGGUUCCUUCACACUGUCUGAGCUUCACACUGUUUCUUUAAACCAGGUCUGUGUUGCUGUAAAAUAGUGACGUGGAUAACUGACAGUAGACUAUGGAGCUGCUCCACCCAAACCUUCAGCAGAACAUUUUCAGUGUGAAGCUGCUGCCGAAAGUAGUCUGUAAUACAUGCAGCUGAUACACAAAACUGUGUUUCUCUGCAGAUGUUCCACAGCUGUGACAAUAAAAACAGUCUGAGAAUAAUGGCAGCUCAUUAAAGCAUAAACUGGUGUGAAAAUAAUGUGAAUUUGGAAAA